rnacentral:misc_RNA from 1 species
GUCGAAUUGCUCCAUUUUUGCGGCGGUGAAGGAAUAGGAAAAAGAACAGAAAGAUGAAGAGGGUUUUCGGUGUCAAGAAAGACAAAGAACCGCCUCCUUCGAUUCAAGAUGCCUCCGAAAGGAUUAAUAAAAGGGGCGAAUCAGUUGAUGAUAAGAUAAAGAAGCUUGAUGUUGAACUCAGUAGAUAUAAGGAGCAGAUCAAGAAAACGAGGCCUGGUCCAGCUCAAGAAGCUGUUAAAGCUCGAGCAAUGAGGGUUCUAAAGCAAAAACGAAUGUAU